rnacentral:rRNA from 1 species
CCUACGGGUGGCAGCAGUGAGGAAUAUUGGUCAAUGGCCGAGAGGCUGAACCAGCCAAGUCGCGUGAGGGAAGACGGCCCUACGGGUUGUAAACCUCUUUUGUCGGGGAGCAAAGCGAGUCACGUGUGACUCAUUGUGAGUACCCGAAGAAAAAGCAUCGGCUAACUCCGUGCCAGCAGCCGCGGUAAUACGGAGGAUGCGAGCGUUAUCCGGAGUUAUUGGGUUUAAAGGGUGCGCAGGCGGAGGUGCAAGUCAGCGGUAAAAUUGCGGGGCUCAACCCCGUACGGCCGUUGAAACGGCAUCCCUUGAGUGCGCGAGAAGUAUGCGGAAUGCGUGGUGUAGCGGUGAAAUGCAUAGAUAUCACGCAGAACCCCGAUUGCGAAGGCAGCUGGCUGCAGCGGAACUGACGCUGAUGCUCGAAAGCGCGGGUAUCGAACAGGAUUAGAUACCCCAUAGUC